CCUUUCUUAUAGAUUCGCAUAUGCGUGGCCAAAGGAACAACUCCAUGUUUUCUAAAAGGCCUAGAGAAUAUAUAUCGGGUGCCUCUCCUCUUUCCGUUUGUGUUUGUCAUUUUGGUGAAUUACUGGAAGAUGGCGGUUCUGGCCGAAAGGCGGUCUGGUGGUUUUAAAAGCGGCAGUUUCCCUGUGCACUCUCUCUCCUUUGGCCUUGUGAAGAAGGCAUUUGCUUCUCCGUCAUCUUUCGUCGUGAUUGUACUUUCCUGGGGCAUCCCCAGCCAAGCAGAACUCAGAAAGUGACUGAAAGACAGAAGCAUUUGGGACACAUAACAGAAGUCAUUAAAAAGAGCCAUGUAAUAUGUGCCUGCUUCCCCUUCUGCCAUGAUUGUAAGUUUCCUGAUGCCCUCCCAGCCAUGCAGAACUAGGAAGAAAACACCAAGUCUCACUCCAUCACCCAGGCUGGCGUGCAGUGGGCAAUCUUGGCUGAAUGCUACCUCUGCCUCCCAGAUUCAACAGAUUCUCAUGCGUCAGCUUCCCUAGUAGUUGGGAUUACAGGCACUUGCCACCACGCCCAUUUUGUGGGUUUUAAAAGAGGCCAACAGAUGACCUCUCUACCUGCUACUGCGACUUAAUUCA